rnacentral:lncRNA from 1 species
CCAUGGCACAUGGACGUCCCUGGGCCAGGGAUCGAACCCAAGCCACAGCAGCCACCUGAGUCACACCAGUGACCCCAGCCACAGUAGUGGACAAUGUGGGAUCGUUAACGAGCUGAGCUAUGAGGGAACUCCACUAAAAUAAAUUUUUAUUCAUUUAUUUUUUUAUGUCUUUUUGGAGGCACACCUGUGACAUAUGGAGGUUUCCAGGCUAGGGGUCGAAUUGGAGCUAUAGCUGCUGGCCUGCACCGUAGCCGUAGAAAUGCUGGAGCCUUAACCCACUAAGCAAGGCCAGGGAUCAAACCCCUGUCCUCAUGGUUACUAGUCAGGUUCAUUAACUGCUGAGCCAAGAUGGGAACUCUACAUGAAUUUUGAAAAAGUCCUGUACAGAGCAAAAAUUUUAAACAUGCAUAUUUUUCUUUUUCUUUUUUUUUUUUAUGGCUGUACCUGCAGCGUAGGCAUGUUCCCGGGCUGAUGCAGCUGUGGAAGUGCUGGAUCCUUUAGCCCACUGCGCCAGGCCAGGGAUUGAACCUGCGCCUCCACAGCAACCUGAGCCACUGCAGUCAAACUCUUAACCCACUGCACCGCAGUGGGAACUCCCACAUUUUUCUUUUUCUUAAAAAAAUGAAGUAUACUUUUAAUGCAGUUGGGACCAUUAAGUGAGAACCGGUUUGCUGUUCCUCUAUGAGAAACGCCAGCAAAUAAAGUGAUAAGUGAAAAAGGAUAUGACUUUAGACACAUUUCUGCUUCCCUUUGACAGUGACUGACCCUCCCACUCGCCUCUUGGCUGUGUCGUGGAUGGAGUGGAGGGAACCAGGCCGCCUGCCCGGGUCUGGAGCGCUGCUGUCUGCUGAUGAAGGCACAUCUUAUGCUGGAUCCUCACCUGUUUUGCUGUGAAUUGAAAACUAGGCUCUAUACUUGUGUAGUUUCCCAGGUUACCUCUCAAGGCAGCUGGGAUGCCGCCUGCCAGCAGAUUCCAUUUAUUUGGACAAGACCGUGCGAGAUGCCUUCCUAAUUAGCUGUAUUGGCUGCUUGAGUCACCGGGCACUCCAGGUGGGUGCUGGGCUGGGGAGCACCGAGGGAGCUAGGUUGCUAACGAAGGGGGUGAGGCUGUAUGUGAGUUGGAUCCUAAACAAUGAGAAACAUUUACCCCCAAGACUGGGGGUAAGAGACGUUCCAGCCUAAAAGGUCAACUGGGCAACGAAUGAGGUCAACUGGGUUCAGAACGACCUCCUUUGGUAGUUUGGUGUCAGCAGUAUGAAAAUAUGCUUCCUACGCAGUAAGAGAUUCAAUCCGAAGUUUAAAGCAGGGUCACCUCGAGUUUGAGGGAGCACACCCCUGGGAGCCGGUGGGACCCGGUGCAGGUCUUGCCUCACGCUCUCCCCUCUGUGUGGCCUGUAAACCCUCCAAAGCCCUUUUCUGAGGGAUGAGAUACACAGAGAGAAGACCCACUUCCUGGGUGUGGCGAGGACGGGAUGCCACAGUGCCCUAUUUCCUCAGCUUUCCGUGGAAGCGCCCAACACACGGAAGCUGGUAUCCACCAUCCACCACCCUUUCCUUCUUUUUUCUUUUUGUCUUU